UGGAACGGUCAUAUCACAUAGAAUCUACGAAGUUAAGCAACGUCGAGCUUAGAUAGUACUUAGAUGGGUGGCCACUUGGAAAAAUCUAGGUUGUGUAAGCA
rnacentral:rRNA from 1 species